rnacentral:sRNA from 1 species
UUGACAGCCCUGGAGACAGAAGUCCUGUAUUUAUCUACAGACAAUUAACAGAAUGGGUGACAACAGUAAACUUUCCCCAAAGUAUCAUAAUCAUGAUAUGGAUAGCAGGACUACCUCCUGAGGCGGGAAUAUAGGUUAGUCUCCAGGCCCAAUCAAUGCUUGGCCAUU